rnacentral:rRNA from 1 species
GAUGAAUGCUGGCGGCGUGCCUAACACAUGCAAGUCGAGCGGCAGCGAGGGGUGCUUGCACCCUGUCGGCGAGCGGCGAACGGCUGAGUAACGCGUAGGAAUUUGCCCCAAAGUGCGGAAUAACCGCCCGAAAGGGUAGCUAAUGCCGCAUAUGGUCUUCGGAUUAAAUGAUUUAUCCGCUUUGGGAGAAGCUUGCGUUGGAUUAGGUUGUUGGUAGGGUAAUGGCCUACCAAGCCGACGAUCCAUAGCUGGUCUGAGAGGAUGAUCAGCCAGACUGGAACUGAGACACGGUCCAGACUCCUACGGGAGGCAGCAGUGAGGAAUCUUCCACAAUGGGCGGAAGCCUGAUGGAGCAACGCCGCGUGAAGGAUGUAGGCCUUCGGGUUGUAAACUUCUUUUAUGAGUGAAGAAUAUGACGGUAACUCAUGAAUAAGCACCGGCUAACUACGUG